UACGGAGGGUGCAAGCGUUAAUCGGAAUUACUGGGCGUAAAGCGUGCGUAGGCGGUUCGUUAAGUCUGUUGUGAAAAGCCCCGGGCUCAACCUGGGAAUGGCAAUGAAUACUGGCGAGCUAGAGUGUGUCAGAGGAUGGUGGAAUUCCCCGGUGUAGCGGUGAAAUGCGUAGAGAUCGGGAGGAACAUCAGUGGCGAAGGCGGCCAUCUGGGACAACACUGACGCUGAGGCACGAAAGCGUGGGGAGCAAACAGG
rnacentral:rRNA from 1 species